rnacentral:hammerhead_ribozyme from 1 species
AUCCAUCUGACGAGUCUAAAAUAAGAUGAAACGCGCGUUCAGGGU